UACAGAGGUCCCGAGCGUUGUUCGGAUUCACUGGGCUUAAAGGGUGCGUAGGCGGCUUUGCAAGUUGGGUGUGAAAGCCCUCGGCUCAACCGAGGAAUUGCGCUCAAUACUGCCGAGCUCGAGAGAGACAGAGGUAAGCGGAACUAAUGGUGGAGCGGUGAAAUGCGUUGAUAUCAUUAGGAACACCGGUGGCGAAGGCGGCUUACUGGGUCUUUUCUGACGCUGAGGCACGAAAGCCAGGGGAGCGAACGGG
rnacentral:rRNA from 1 species